rnacentral:rRNA from 1 species
ACGCUGGCGGCAGGCCUAACACAUGCAAGUCGAGCGGUAGAGAGAAGCUUGCUUCUCUUGAGAGCGGCGGACGGGUGAGUAAUGCCUAGGAAUCUGCCUGGUAGUGGGGGAUAACGUCCGGAAACGGACGCUAAUACCGCAUACGUCCUACGGGAGAAAGCAGGGGACCUUCGGGCCUUGCGCUGUCAGAUGAGCCUAGGUCGGAUUAGCUAGUUGGUGGGGUAAUGGCUCACCAAGGCGACGAUCCGUAACUGGUCUGAGAGGAUGAUCAGUCACACUGGAACUGAGACACGGUCCAGACUCCUACGGGAGGCAGCAGUGGGGAAUAUUGGACAAUGGGCGAAAGCCUGAUCCAGCCAUGCCGCGUGUGUGAAGAAGGUCUUCGGAUUGUAAAGCACUUUAAGUUGGGAGGAAGGGCAGUAAAUUAAUACUUUGCUGUUUUGACGUUACCGACAGAAUAAGCACCGGCUAACUCUGUGCCAGCAGCCGCGGUAAUACAGAGGGUGCAAGCGUUAAUCGGAAUUACUGGGCGUAAAGCGCGCGUAGGUGGUUCGUUAAGUUGGAUGUGAAAUCCCCGGGCUCAACCUUGGAAACUCCAUUCAAAACUGACGAGCUAGAGUAUGGUAGAGGGUGGUGGAAUUUCCUGUGUAGCGGUGAAAUGCGUAGAUAUAGGAAGGAACACCAGUGGCGAAGGCGACCACCUGGACUGAUACUGACACUGAGGUGCGAAAGCGUGGGGAGCAAAC